UACGUAGGGUGCGAGCGUUAAUCGGAAUUACUGGGCGUAAAGCGUGCGCAGGCGGUUUUUUAAGUCAGAUGUGAAAUCCCCGGGCUUAACCUGGGAAUGGCAUUUGGGACUGGAAGGCUGGAGUGUGGCAGAGGAGACUGGAAUUCCCGGUGUAGCAGUGAAAUGCGUAGAUAUCGGGAGGAAUACCGAUGGCGAAGGCAGGUCUCUGGGCUGACACUGACGCUCAUGCACGAAAGCGUGGGGAGCAAACAGG
rnacentral:rRNA from 1 species